GUCCGCCCGGCUGUCCGGUCGCCUGGCCUCGCCCGAUGUCGUCGGCUGCCUGCCGCGGUUCGCGCCGUGUCGCAGUGUCAGUUCCGUCGUUCACGGCGCGAGGUGGCGGCCAUCGCGGCGGCGGAGGACUGCACUUCCUCCCUAGUAGGAACGUCGCGACCCGUCGAGGGCGGGUCCAAGGCACGGGGUAUCGAACGCUCGCGUCUGCGGGGCGGGUUUCCGUUCCCGGCGCGAAUCCUCGUUGCCCGGCCUGCCGUUAGACGGUAUGACGGCGGAGCAGGCUCGCUCAACUCAGAGCGCCCAGCCCGGUGUCGGCGUGGUCGUCCGUCGGUGGCUCGUGUCGAAAACACGUCCCCGGCGCCGUGCCGCGUCCGGCUGCAAGACCGGUGUCCCUGGGCAGCGGCCUAGUCUCCCGUCGGCGACGCCGCAGAUUGGGGCACUCUCCCGACCCGUCUUGAAACACGGACCAAGGAGUCUAACAUGUGCGCGAGCCAUUGGGUUCGGCAGCGAAACCCAGAGGCGCAGUGAAAGUGAAGGUAGCCCUAGGGCAACCGAGGGAGGAUGGCGCCGGCUGUGUCCGGUGCCCGCACUCCCGGGGCGUCUCACCCUCAUUGCGAGGAGAGACGCACCCAGAGCGUACACGUUGGGACCCGAAAGAUGGUGAACUAUGCCUGGCCAGGACGAAGUCAGGGGAAACCCUGAUGGAGGUCCGUAGCGAUUCUGACGUGCAAAUCGAUCGUCAGAGCUGGGUAUAGGGGCGAAAGACUAAUCGAACCGUCUAGUAGCUGGUUCUCUCCGAAGUUUCCCUCAGGAUAGCUGGUACUCGGAGUAAGAGUCUCAUAUGGUAAAGCGAAUGAUUAGAGGCCUUGGGGCCGAAACGACCUCAACCUAUUCUCAAACUUUAAAUGGGUGAGAUCUCCGGCUUGCUCAACGUGAAGCCGGAGGCGGAUCAGAGUGCCAAGUGGGCCAUUUUUGGUAAGCAGAACUGGCGCUGUGGGAUGAACCAAACGCAGAGUUAAGGCGCCGAAAUCGACGCUCAUGGGAAACCAUGAAAGGUGUUGGUUGCUUAAGACAGCAGGACGGUGGCCAUGGAAGUCGGAAUCCGCUAAGGAGUGUGUAACAACUCACCUGCCGAAGCAACUAGCCCUGAAAAUGGAUGGCGCUGAAGCGUCGUGCCUAUACUCUGCCGUCGGCGGCAGGAGGGCGCUCCCGCAAGGGGGCCCCGGCGAAGCUCCGACGAGUAGGAGAGUCGCGGCGGUGUGCGCAGAAGGGUCUGGGCGCGAGCCUGCCUGGAGCCACCGCCGGUGCAGAUCUUGGUGGUAGUAGCAAAUACUCCAGCGAGGACCUGGAGGACUGACGCGGAGAAGGGUUUCGUGUGAACAGCCGUUGCACACGAGUCAGUCGAUCCUAAGCCCUAGGAGAAAUCCCAUGCAGAUGGUUCGGUGUAAAAGUCGAAAGCAAAACCGACCGUCGGGCGAAAGGGAAUCCGGUUCCUAUUCCGGAACCCGGCAGCGGAACCGUUCCAAUUCGGGCCCUCGCAAGAGGACUCGUCGGGGUAACCCAACAGGACCCGGAGACGCCGUCGGGAGAUCGGGGAAGAGUUUUCUUUUCUGCAUGAGCGUUCGAGUUCCCUGGAAUCCUCUAGCAGGGAGAUAGGGUUUGGAACGCGAAGAGCACCGCAGUUGCGGCGGUGUCCCGAUCUUCCCCUCGGACCAUGAAAAUCCGGGAGAGGGCCACGUGGAGCUUUCGCGCCGGCUCGUACCCAUAUCCGCAGC
rnacentral:rRNA from 1 species